rnacentral:tRNA from 1 species
GCCGUGAUGGCGGAACUGGUAGACGCGCCAGGUUCAGGGUCUGGUAGGGGUUUCUCUGUGAGGGUUCGAGUCCCUCUCACGGCA